CCCUUAGAUGUUCUGGGCUGCACGCGUGUUACAAUCGGGAGUACAACAAGAUUGCAAAUCCUAGUGGAUGAGUGGUUCUUCGAAAUUUUCUGAAGACUGGGAUAGUUGAUUGAAAUUAUUCAACCCAAACGAGGAAUUCCUUGUAAUUGUAAUUCAUUAUAUUGUAAUGAAUACGUCCCUGCCCUUUGUACACACCGCCCGUCGCUCCUACCGAUUGAACGAUCCGGUGAAUUAUUUGGAGUAGCUCUGGAAGUUGCAGAACUUCCUAUGUCACGAAAUUUUGUAAACCUUAUCGUUUAGAGGAAGGAAAAGUCGUAACA
rnacentral:rRNA from 1 species